AGAAAUGAAGAGCAAAGACACCCCAUUCCCAGGUUCAGAUAACAGCGGAGGCCUCGGGGCGGAACAUGCAGCUGUUCUGCUGCUCCUGGUGAAAGGCUAGGCUAAUCCCUACACCCAGAGGGCGGCAGAGGUGGAAGGGAGUGGGAUUUGCAGCAGUGAAACAGCGGAGGAGAAUCUCCUGGUUUUCUAGCAGAACACUUAACAUGAGAUCCACCCUCUUAAAAUUGUGUGUAACGUGGUGUACAUUGGUGCAUAAGAUGGGAUGUUAUUUAGCCUUAAAAGAGAACAAAAUCCUGCAAUAUAUGAUGAUGUGGAUGACCUUGAGGCCAUUAUGCUGAAUGAACUAAGCCAGUCGCGGAAGGACAGAGCAGCACAUCAAAGACUACGGGGCUCUGCGAAGUGAUCACAUCACAGAGUAGCUGGUAAUGGGGGGUGACAAAGCCUCAGGGAAAGCCACCCACCUCUCUUCACAUCCUAAUGCUGCCAUGAGCCUGAUAUUCCUCUGCUCCAUGGUCCUUCGUCUCCUGAGUGAAGGCCCCUCCAUGCAGAAGUCACCCAGACUCCAGGACACCUGGUCAAGGGGAAAGGACAGAAAGCAACAAUGUAUUGGGUCCUCAUCAAAGGACACACUUACGUUUUCU